rnacentral:rRNA from 1 species
GGUUAAGCGACUAAGCGUACACGGUGGAUGCCCUGGCAGUCAGAGGCGAUGAAGGACGUGCUAAUCUGCGAAAAGCGUCGGUAAGGUGAUAUGAACCGUUACAGCCGGCGAUGUCCGAAUGGGGAAACCCAGUGUGAUUCGUCACACUAUCGUUAACUGAAUACAUAGGUUAACGAGGCGAACCGGGGAACUGAAACAUCUAAGUACCCCGAGGAAAAGAAAUCAACCGAGAUUCCCCCAGUAGCGGCGAGCGAACGGGGAGCAGCCCAGAGUCUGAAUCAGCUUGUGUGUUAGUGGAACGGUCUGGAAAGUCCGACGGUACAGGGUGAUAGUCCCGUACACCAAAAUGCACAGGCUGUGAACUCGAAGAGUAGGGCGGGACACGUGGUAUCCUGUCUGAAUAUGGGGGGACCAUCCUCCAAGGCUAAAUACUCCUGACUGACCGAUAGUGAACCAGUACCGUGAGGGAAAGGCGAAAAGAACCCCGGCGAGGGGAGUGAAAAAGAACCUGAAACCGUGUACGUACAAGCAGUGGGAGCACCUUCGGGUGUGACUGCGUACCUUUUGUAUAAUGGGUCAGCGACUUAUAUUCUGUAGCAAGGUUAACCGUAUAGGGGAGCCGCAGGGAAACCGAGUCUUAACUGGGCGUUAAGUUGCAGGGUAUAGACCCGAAACCCGGUGAUCUAGCCAUGGGCAGGUUGAAGGUUGGGUAACACUAACUGGAGGACCGAACCGACUAAUGUUGAAAAAUUAGCGGAUGACUUGUGGCUGGGGGUGAAAGGCCAAUCAAACCGGGAGAUAGCUGGUUCUCCCCGAAAGCUAUUUAGGUAGCGCCUCGUGAACUCAUCUUCGGGGGUAGAGCACUGUUUCGGCUAGGGGGUCAUCCCGACUUACCAACCCGAUGCAAACUACGAAUACCGAAGAAUGUUAUCACGGGAGACACACGGCGGGUGCUAACGUCCGUCGUGAAGAGGGAAACAACCCAGACCGCCAGCUAAGGUCCCAAAGUCAUGGUUAAGUGGGAAACGAUGUGGGAAGGCACAGACAGCCAGGAUGUUGGCUUAGAAGCAGCCAUCAUUUAAAGAAAGCGUAAUAGCUCACUGGUCGAGUCGGCCUGCGCGGAAGAUGUAACGGGGCUAAACCAUGCACCGAAGCUGCGGCAGCGACACUAUGUGUUGUUGGGUAGGGGAGCGUUCUGUAAGCCUGCGAAGGUGUGCUGUGAGGCAUGCUGGAGGUAUCAGAAGUGCGAAUGCUGACAUAAGUAACGAUAAAGCGGGUGAAAAGCCCGCUCGCCGGAAGACCAAGGGUUCCUGUCCAACGUUAAUCGGGGCAGGGUGAGUCGACCCCUAAGGCGAGGCCGAAAGGCGUAGUCGAUGGGAAACAGGUUAAUAUUCCUGUACUUGGUGUUACUGCGAAGGGGGACGGAGAAGGCUAUGUUAGCCGGGCGACGGUUGUCCCGGUUUAAGCAUGUAGGCUGGUUAUCCAGGCAAAUCCGGAUAAUCAAGGCUGAGGUGUGAUGACGAGGCACUACGGUGCUGAAGUAACAAAUGCCCUGCUUCCAGGAAAAGCCUCUAAGCAUCAGGUAACAUCAAAUCGUACCCCAAACCGACACAGGUGGUCAGGUAGAGAAUACCAAGGCGCUUGAGAGAACUCGGGUGAAGGAACUAGGCAAAAUGGUGCCGUAACUUCGGGAGAAGGCACGCUGGUGUGUAGGUGAAGCCCCUGCGGGUGGAGCUGAGACCAGUCGAAGAUACCAGCUGGCUGCAACUGUUUAUUAAAAACACAGCACUGUGCAAACACGAAAGUGGACGUAUACGGUGUGACGCCUGCCCGGUGCCGGAAGGUUAAUUGAUGGGGUUAUCCGUAAGGAGAAGCUCUUGAUCGAAGCCCCGGUAAACGGCGGCCGUAACUAUAACGGUCCUAAGGUAGCGAAAUUCCUUGUCGGGUAAGUUCCGACCUGCACGAAUGGCGUAAUGAUGGCCAGGCUGUCUCCACCCGAGACUCAGUGAAAUUGAACUCGCUGUGAAGAUGCAGUGUACCCGCGGCAAGACGGAAAGACCCCGUGAACCUUUACUAUAGCUUGACACUGAACAUUGAGCCUUGAUGUGUAGGAUAGGUGGGAGGCUUUGAAGCGUGGACGCCAGUCUGCGUGGAGCCAACCUUGAAAUACCACCCUUUAAUGUUUGAUGUUCUAACGUUGGCCCCUUACCGGGGUUGCGGACAGUGUCUGGUGGGUAGUUUGACUGGGGCGGUCUCCUCCCAAAGCGUAACGGAGGAGCACGAAGGUUAGCUAAUCCUGGUCGGACAUCAGGAGGUUAGUGCAAUGGCAUAAGCUAGCUUGACUGCGAGCGUGACGGCGCGAGCAGGUGCGAAAGCAGGUCAUAGUGAUCCGGUGGUUCUGAAUGGAAGGGCCAUCGCUCAACGGAUAAAAGGUACUCCGGGGAUAACAGGCUGAUACCGCCCAAGAGUUCAUAUCGACGGCGGUGUUUGGCACCUCGAUGUCGGCUCAUCACAUCCUGGGGCUGAAGUAGGUCCCAAGGGUAUGGCUGUUCGCCAUUUAAAGUGGUACGCGAGCUGGGUUUAGAACGUCGUGAGACAGUUCGGUCCCUAUCUGCCGUGGGCGCUGGAGAAUUGAGGGGGCUGCUCCUAGUACGAGAGGACCGGAGUGGACGCAUCACUGGUGUUCGGGUUGUCAUGCCAAUGGCACUGCCCGGUAGCUAAAUGCGGAAGAGAUAAGUGCUGAAAGCAUCUAAGCACGAAACUUGCCCCGAGAUGAGUUCUCCCUGAGACUUUAAGUCUCCUGAAGGAACGUUGAAGACGACGACGUUGAUAGGCCGGGUGUGUAAGCGCAGCGAUGCGUUGAGCUAACCGGUACUAAUGAACCGUGAGGCUUAACCUU